GGUAAACUGGUUAAUAGAGUCAAAUAUACAAACCAAAAAAAAUGUUUUAACACUCAAAACUACUUUGGAUGCUUCAGUCACAGGCAGAGUAAUGCUGACCCAGUAAACGUCAGACCAUUCAUGUGAUUACCAUGUCUGCGUCCGAGUGGGGAGCGUGAGGAGGGGGAUUCAUGGCCGUGACGCACAGAAAAAUAGCGAUAAUCCGAACCGACCUGGAGCAGCUGAGCUGAGAGCCUGAUCCAGUUUUCAGGUCAGGAAGAAGAAAUAUCACAAGAGAACCGGAAAUAUUACAAACAUCCGCUUUUAGAGAUCAUCAAACUCGUCUGAAUAUCAGAGAAACAACAAGCAGAUUGGAGAGGAGGAGAGGAAACAGCCUGGCUCUUAUAAUAGAUGGGAAAGGUCAGAUGUUCUGCACAGUAAGCACGUCAGAGCGUGAACCUCUGCAUGCUGAGCAGAUUUUUGUGUGGAUCUCAUCAGGCGUCUCGUUCAAAGCGUGAGAAACUCCAGGCGGCCCACGCCCGGCUCUCAGCAGGCCUUCAAAGAUAAUUCAAACAAAAUGAAACACAAACAUGCUUUUGGCGCCGGGUCAGAUUCCUCUGCUUCACUGAUGAAUAACACUUUAAGAAAUGAAGCAGGUGAAUUCGCUACGGCAUUAAAAGAUUCUGAUAUCCAUUUGCUGAAAUGUUACUUUUAUGUUUAUCUUAUUCAAAGUGUAAUAAGGCAGACCAAAAUAUGUGGUAAGAUUUUGUGUCUUUGCAGUGUAAAUAAUGUAUCAGCAAUGAAAAUUGAAAUUCAGUACAUUAUUGGGAUAUGAUAUUUACCAGAAACAGUCAUUUUUGACAUGAAUUUUGGACCCGCAGUGAUGGUUUGUUUGCGGUACGUUGUGUGUGCGGCGUUAGAAUAAACCUGAGGAGAUGAUGAUCA